UACGGAGGGUGCGAGCGUUAAUCGGAAUUACUGGGCGUAAAGCGUGCGUAGGCGGUUGGUUAAGUCAGAUGUGAAAGCCCCGGGCUUAACCUGGGAACGGCAUUUGAAACUGGCCGGCUGGAGUUGGGGAGAGGGGAGUGGAAUUUCAGGUGUAGCGGUGAAAUGCGUAGAUAUCUGAAGGAACACCAGUGGCGAAGGCGGCUCCCUGGCCCCAAACUGACGCUGAGGUACGAAAGCGUGGGUAGCAAACAGG
rnacentral:rRNA from 1 species